AAGUCGUAACAAGGUUUCCGUAGGUGAACCUGCGGAAGGAUCAUUAACAAUUCGAUGGCUUGGUGUCUCACAAAGGACUUUCAAAAGUCUCGAGUGUCUCCAAGUUUUCACCCCAAAAAACCUGUUAUCGAAGUCGCCUUUCAAAAAGGUGAUUCUGAUAACACUAAGCAACUUGGAAGGCUUUGAUCUUUGAUCUUAUCUUUCCUUUCUUUGUGUUUGAUGAUUAGUGGCCACAGAACUUCGGUUUUGUUUUCUCUAUGAUUCGAGCACGUUAAAUCUCCCUUUUAUUUUAAAACACCCAAUUACAAAUUGUUAUAGACUAACAUGAGCAAAUGAUAUACAAACGCUAAAAACAACUCUUAGCAACGGAUAUCUAGGCUCUC
rnacentral:misc_RNA from 1 species